CAUGGCAAUGCCUGCAGGUAUGAAGCAGUGGGCACGAUGCAGGCCAGAUUUAGUCUUGUCUGGGUACCUAAAAGGAAAGUAGAGAUGGCUAAAUAGGACUUUCUCAUGUUUGAUAUUGAUGCAACAUUCCUGAAUAUCUGUUUCCUACUUGAAUAUUAUGGUUAACAAAUUUAUGUUGUAGACGCUUUGAAUGCUGAUCAGACCUUGAACAGCUUGAAACACUCAGACUGCACCAUUUUUUACUUUGCCAUACAGGCUUAAGUUGGGAAUGUGAUAACAUGAUGUGUCCCGACUUGUCGUUACACCGUGUUGCUGUGUCACAAUUCUGGGGAUGAAUCCUCUGAGGUGUGCAUUCAUAAACUAAAUGUCUCAUAAGAGUCUGACAAGCUCUGUCUCAUUUCAAUCACUCCUAAAACUUCGGGAGGGAAAUGCAGCCUUGUUUUGCAUGAAUGUGAAGGACACAGUCUGCUGUAUCCUUUAUUUAUGGAAAAAUAAAGGAUAUGUAUUUAUGGAAUGCCUUCGGCAAAUAAUAAUUUGUGAAGGUUCAUACAGCUUUCAGGCGAGCGUCCUCAGCUCAUAAAUCUGGAAAUAUCACAUGGCUGCAUUGUGUUUACCAGGUAUCUGUGGUUUGGUGGAUCCAUCACUGGUAAAAAAUAUCACAUGUGGCAGACAGUAAAACUACAAGGUGGAAAUAAUAAAUUAUUUGGAUGUAUUUACCAUUAACACAAUUCACUAUUUUCCAGUUGUUCAUCAUGUUUCGACAUGAAUGUCACAACAUAACACAGGAAGAAUGAAACUUGCCAGUUUCCCAUUUGUAUUUAAACUUUGUAACCCAUUGAAGGGCAAUGCUUGGAGAUAAAAUUUGGAAAUGUUUCACUUUUCAAGUUGAAAAAGGCCACCUAAACACACACUUAGUUGUGGUCUCUGUGAGGCUUAUUUGAGCAGGUGGAGCCUGGCCUCCAUGUCCUCUGAAGGACACGCCAAUGUGAGCUGUGGCCUCCUGUGGAUCAAGCCCCAGAAUUAUGACAAAGAAAACAGCCGCUUCCUCAGGGCUGAACAAAUCUUGGGGCUUGCCCGACAGGCCUCUGGGUUGGUGGAGAGCAGCGCUACAGCCUGUGCCACACUGGGCACCACAUCCCUCGAGACCCCUACUGGACUAGAUUUGGAGGGGUAGGGCAGGAUGAGCAACUCUCCCCUACAGAGGAACACCUGACAAGAAAAAGGAGAAUAAGUGGAACAAUGAAGGCUUGUAUUUAAAUACAAACAAUAACAAGAGGAAGACUUCACUGCAGAGACUUGAAACCAUGAGAGGGAACAUUUAGCCACCCUAAAAAAAUGUUGUCAGUAAGCUUAAUACAUACUGAUAUCUGAGAUUUGAGUAGAAAAAUUAAAGGUUUGGCACUACUCUGCCAAACCCAGAAGAGAGAAGUAAGCAUGGGUGUUAAGUGUAUUAAGUGAUGUUGGAAGUUUAACUGUCCUUAAACACAUCAAUGAGAAAUAUUUUAGAAAAUUGACCUUGGCCUUCAUCCCAUACUGAAAUAAAGUGAAAACAUCCACUUUGGAAGAUAAUCUGCAGCUUCAAUCAGGAGAAAUUCCCCAUCGUUGUCCUCAACUCUGUACACACAAAUGUGAAAUUGCACAAAUGAAAAAAAAACACUAAGACGGAUCCAUGUUUCGGCAGUAUAAAAGAACAAUUGAAUCGUCAAAAAAUUUGAACUCAGAGCACAUUUUCCUUACCUGGCUGCGAGAUCGGGGAAGGCCUCUGUGAUUUUCUUUAAGAGGAUGGUAGCUGAGGUUGAAUGACUGAUUCUGCCAGAUGUACUGCAUCAGCAGCGGGGCAACCUUGGCCAAAAUCUCCUCUACGAGAUGUGACAGGUGCUCCUCAGAGUGUUGUAAAGUUGAGUCGUCCGACUGGAUCAAGAAGAGCUGAUACUGGACCAUGUCCUCCUGAACCACUCUCCUCUGCAGGGCGUCCAUUGUUGCAACUUUAGAGAAGACCUAAUAAACAGACAACAAAAGCAUAAAUGAUGG